UACGAAGGGUGCAAACGUUGCUCGGAAUUAUUGGGCGUAAAGCGCACGUAGGCGGCAUAGCAAGUCGAAUGUGAAAUCCCUCGGCUUAACCAAGGAAGUGCAUCCGAAACUGCUGUGCUUGAGUACGAAAGAGGAUCGCGGAAUUCCCGGUGUAGAGGUGAAAUUCGUAGAUAUCGGGAGGAACACCAGUGGCGAAGGCGGCGAUCUGGGUCGAUACUGACGCUGAGGUGCGAAAGCGUGGGGAGCAAACAGG
rnacentral:rRNA from 1 species